GAAUACUCAUAGCCGACGAAUUGAAUGAUGGAUUGGUAUGGAGGGCAACCUAUGAUGAAUCGAUGGUGAUGAUGGUGCAUGACGGUGGUUGCAGAGAUGAGAUUUAACCCCCCAGCAAAUAUGCUGUUGGCGUGCUCUGCAUGCUUGCCUGCAGUUGUCCAAUAACAGAAUUUAACGGAGGAUUACUGCGUAUGGGUAACCAUCAGCGGACAGAGUCGUAAGAAGAAUUGACAUCCCUCGCGCACGCGUGCAUCGGUAGUUUGAACUGGCAGGAAAUGAAUGAGGUUGGUUGCGUUGCGAGAAUGUCACCACUGCCAUAGUUUGUUUCAAGAUAGGAGCAAAAAAAUGAAAAUAAAAAUAAAAAUAAAAAUAAAAAUAAAA
rnacentral:sRNA from 1 species